AAGUAAGGACGACCUUACCGCUCAAAUUUUGAUGGGGACGACCCC
rnacentral:ncRNA from 1 species